GUUUUUUUCUGGGGGGUUCUGCCUGUGGGGUUUUGUAGUGAGCUGUGGAUGUUGCAUCAUUUUGACUGCAUCUAACCUAUGUUGCAUGGUGGAGAUAACCAGCUUAGUUCCAGCCUCAGCAGACAAUGAGAGUACCACUGGCAGGAGCUUUCAGCUAACAGAAUUGGAUCCUGGUCUGAGCUGAUUGAGUGAGACGCAAGUCUAUAACUGCCUGUUACAGCCUGCCUUCUUCUCUUGAGUGGCUGCUGUGCCUUUCCCUUCACUCAGCUUACCUCACGCUGCUUCUCAUUCUCCUGUUGCUGGUUGAGAUCCAGGUACUGAGUUGUGAUACUCUUCAUUACUUGCUGGAAGCUGGAUCACCUCUGCACUAUAGAAAGAAAUUAAAUUCCUUUUCUUUUAAUUAUACUGUUAUAACCCCCUUACUCCAGUGUUCGUAUAGGAAUAUAUUAGUAAUGGAAAAUACAAUUAUAAAAUCUCUUGAGUUCAUGCACAAAUAAAACCGUCAAGUAAGACAAAGUGUUAAUAAAAUCUUAUAUAACUUAGGGAAUACUACUGUAAUAACACUGAAUGAAGAAAAA